rnacentral:rRNA from 1 species
GAUGAACGCUGGCGGCGUGCCUAAUACAUGCAAGUCGAGCGAACAGACGAGGAGCUUGCUCCCCCGACGUUAGCGGCGGACGGGUGAGUAACAUGUGGAUAACCUACCUAUAAGACUGGGAUAAUUUCGGGAAACCGGAGCUAAUACCGGAUAAUAUAUUGAACCGCAUGGUGCAAUAGUGAAAGACGGUUUUUCUGUCACUUAUAGAUGGCUCCGCCCCGCAUUAGUUAGUUGGUAAGGUAACGGCUUACCAAGGCGACGAUGGGAAGCCGACCUGAAGGGGUGGUCGCAUAGAUGGGAACAGAGACUGGGUCCAGACUCCUGCGGUGAGCAGCGGUAGGGAAUCUUACGGGAUGCGGGAGUGCCGGACGGAGCAACGCGGCGGGAGGGAUGAAGGUGUUCGGAUGGUUAAACGCUGUUGUUAGUGGGGAACAAAUGUGUAAUUAACUAUGAACGUCUUGACGGUACCGGAUCAGAAAGCCACGGCUAACUACGUG